rnacentral:rRNA from 1 species
ACGGGUGAGUAACACGUGGGUAACCUACCCUUCAGUGGGGGACAACAGAGGGAAACUUCUGCUAAUACCGCAUAAGACCACGAUCUGGGAUGAUAGUGGGAAAAGGAUUUAUUCGCUGAGGGAUGGGCCUGCGGCCUAUCAGGUAGUUGGUGAGGUAAUGGCUCACCAAGCCUGCGACGGGUAGCCGGACUGAGAGGUCGAUCGGCCACACUGGAACUGAGACACGGUCCAGACUCCUACGGGAGGCAGCAGUGGGGAAUAUUGCACAAUGGGGGAAACCCUGAUGCAGCGACGCCGCGUGGAGGAUGACGGCCUUCGGGUUGUAAACUCCUUUUGCAGGGGACAAUGGUGAUGGUACCCUGCGAAUAAGCCACGGCUAACUCUGUGCCAGCAGCCGCGGUAAGACAGAGGUGGCGAGCGUUGUUCGGAAUUACUGGGCUUAAAGGGCGCGUAGGCGGUGGUUUAAGUCUAGGGUGGAAUGCUACAGCUCAACUGUAGAGCUGCCUUGGAAACUGGAUUACUUGAGUCGGUGAGGGGAAGGUGGAAUUCCAGGU